AUUGAACGCUGGCGGCAGGCCUAACACAUGCAAGUCGAGCGAGCGGCGGACGGGUGAGUAAUGUAUGGGGACUGCCCGAUAGAGGGGGAUAACUACUGGAAACGGUAGCUAAUCCCGCAUCCUAUCGGAUAACCCAUAUGGGAUUAGCUAGUGGGUGAGGUAAUGGCUCACCUAGGCGACGAUCCCUAGCUGGUCUGAGAGGAUUAUCAGCCACACUGGGACUGUGAACCGGCCCAGACGCCGACGGAGGCAGCAGUGGGGAAUAUUGCACAAUGGGCGCAAGCCUGAUGCAGCCAUGCCGCGUGUAUGAAGAAGGCCCUAGGGUUGUAAAGUACUGUUGGCAGAGAAGCGGUAUCUGCAGAAUAAGCACCGGCUAACUACGUGCCAGCAGCCGCGGUAAUAC
rnacentral:rRNA from 1 species